UUUUAGUAUCAUUGAAAGUAUUUUUUGAAGAUUGCUACCAAAAUUGUCAGACCAGCUGGUCAGGUUUAAAGGCACAGACACCUUUUGGGCAUACAAGCUGAUGGGAUACAUGAUUGGCACAACAUCAGCCCAAGACAGUUCUUCAAUACGAGAUCGAGGUAUAGGCUGAUAACUAUGGAGAUUCGAAAGAAGAAUUUUGCUUGGACUAGAUGAAGACCUUAACUAAAAUCAUGUAAAAAAUGUUCAGUUUAAUGAAUUAUCUUUAUGAUUUGGUGGUAGAUGUUGCCAGAAGUCCAGUAGAAGCUCUGCACUAAGGAUUUUCUUCAAGUAAUACAAAGUAUAUAGAAUUAUUUGGUCAGAUUUUAAAAUGAAAUUUUAUCUAGUCUCUGAGAAUUGUUUUAGAGGUAUGAAAACAUGGGUUAUUUGUCCAACUUUUCAGCCCAGUGAUCUACACUGCACUGAUUAUGUAUGUUUGCUCUUGUUUUUCUAAUCCUGCUAGUAAUUGCAUGCAGGACUUCCCCUGGCAUAAUUUUCCUCUUACAGCUCUGGAUUAACAAAUAAAAAAAACAUAGAUUAACAAGUAAGAAUAGCAAGCACAUGUAAUGUUCAAGCAGAUAAUCAGCCCUACUGUGAAACAGCUGGGCAGUCUAGGUGUUACUGCGUAGGCUACAGCGUACAUCUGGGUACAGGUAUAUUACACCAUGGGUGAUGGGAAAUUGUCAUGAGAAAUGAAAUAUCCCUCUGGUACAAGUACAUUUGGAGUUAAUAAUGUGAUCUGGAGUGCAGCUAUGACAUGUAGAAUUAUGUUUUGAAUGUUGUUUUUUGAGACAAAAUUGUGCUGAAGGCUCCUUUUGGUUUGUGGAUUGCAAACUUUUCUCUCAGUGCUGCUGUAUUCCCUAGUUCACAAAGUUGUCAAAAGACAGAAGAAACUGGGUAGUUUCUUAAUGACUGUUCUGAGGUUGCUGUAUAUUGUGUACAUACACACCUACACAAACUUUUUAUCACCAAAAUCUUGCAGGGGUUUUCAAUCCCAUGGUACCAGAAUGCAUGUUAUCACAGCCAUGUGUGCAUGUCCUUAUCUCUGCGCACUUUCUACCUUUGCUGUUUCUCAUCACGAUAUGUAAUUAGCAGCGGAAGAUCAGUGAGAUCAAGUGCAUUCUGUGCUCUCUUAGCUUUUCCAGUUGCAAUUCUACUUGUAGUAUGUUUUCUUACAUCAGCUGUGGUACGGAAGCAUCCAAGAGUUUUUUGG